UACGAAGGGGGGCUAGCGUUGCUCGGAAUCACUGGGCGUAAAGGGUGCGUAGGCGGGUCUUUAAGUCAGGGGUGAAAUCCUGGAGCUCAACUCCAGAACUGCCUUUGAUACUGAGGAUCUUGAGUUCGGGAGAGGUGAGUGGAACUGCGAGUGUAGAGGUGAAAUUCGUAGAUAUUCGCAAGAACACCAGUGGCGAAGGCGGCUCACUGGCCCGAUACUGACGCUGAGGCACGAAAGCGUGGGGAAGCAAACAGGGAG
rnacentral:rRNA from 1 species